CCUACGGGUGGCAGCAGUGGGGAAUAUUGCACAAUGGGGGAAACCCUGAUGCAGCGACGCCGCGUGAGUGAAGAAGGAAUUCGGUAUGUAAAGCUCUAUCAGCAGGGAAGAAAAUGACGGUACCUGAGUCAGAAGCCCCGGCUAACUACGUGCCAGAAGCCGCGGUAAUACGUAGGGGGCGAGCGGUAUCCGGAUGUACUGGGUGUAAAGGGAGCGUAGCCGGCAGUGCAAGUCUGGAGUGAAAGGCGGGGGCUAAACCCCCGGACUGCUCUGGAAACUGUACGGCUGGAGUGCAGGAGAGGUAAGUGGAAUUCCUAGUGUAGCGGUGAAAUGCGUAGAUAUUAGGAGGAACACCAGUGGCGAAGGCGGCUUACUGGACUGUAACUGACGUUGAGGCUCGAAAGCGUGGGGAGCAAACAGGAUUAGAUACCCGGGUAGUC
rnacentral:rRNA from 1 species